rnacentral:rRNA from 1 species
GACGAACGCUGGCGGCGUGCUUAACACAUGCAAGUCGAACGAUGAACUUGGAGCUUGCUCUGGGGGAUUAGUGGCGAACGGGUGAGUAACACGUGAGUAACCUGCCCUGGACUCUGGGAUAACUUCGAGAAAUCGGAGCUAAUACCGGAUAGGACCUUGCACCGCAUGGUGUGGGGUGGAAAGUUUUUCGGUUUGGGAUGGACUCGCGGCCUAUCAGCUCGUUGGUGAGGUAAUGGCUCACCAAGGCGUCGACGGGUAGCCGGCCUGAGAGGGUGGCCGGCCACACUGGGACUGAGAAACGGCCCAGACUCCUACGGGAGGCAGCAGUGGGGAAUAUUGCACAAUGGGCGCAAGCCUGAUGCAGCAACGCCGCGUGCGGGAUGACGGCCUUCGGGUUGUAAACCGCUUUUAGUAGGGAAGAAGCCUUCGGGUGACGGUACCUGCAGAAAAAGGACCGGCUAACUACGUGCCAGCAGCCGCGGUAACAC